UAAUGUAGGAUCCUAGAAUUUUUUCUAACUGUUAUUGCCCUCUUCACUUAUACACACCCACCCACACAAACAUAAACCUUCUCUGAUUUCCCUUCCCCAAAGUCUCCGUAUGAAACCCCAAAGAUCAAAAUCAGCUUCCACAAAAUCACUCACCUACUCAAUUAGCUAACCCCCUCAGUCCAAUGUGCAAUAGAAAACAAUGGCGGAAUCGUCUUCGCAACUACACUGGAGGCCCAGAACCUUGAAGAAGAUCUCCAAACUCUUAAGCAUUAUCGCUCCGACAUCGAACGCCAAUCUAACUAGGGAAUUUUUUUUCUUUUAAGUCUCUCAAAAACUUUGCCCCUGCCCUCAAUCGAGUCUCUCACGGCCUUUACAGAGGAGUACCAGACGUUCCUCGUCGAUGGCUUUUGCCGAAUCCUCGAAGCCCUCGUAGACUUCAAUGGGUUUUCGAUGGAAUCCGUCAAUGGAAUCGUUUCUUUGACUAGUAGUGCGAACUCAGAAGAUGUACGGGGUGAGAAAGUUGAUAAAUUGCCUAACCCGGCCUGGGAGGUAUUGGGUGAGGUGUGGAUGUGAUGAGGUUAACCCCAAAAACUGCAUGAGCCUUGAAGGCCAAGGAAUGAAAGACACAAGAUAGGAGUGGUACUGCUGGCCGACCCACCAUGCUUCUAUCUUCUAUCUUAUUUCACUUUUAAUAUUCAAAGUACCACACGUUGUAUGCAUAUGUGGAUGCUGGAUCACUCUAUGAUGCAGAUUUAUCUAACAGCAUGCUUUGCAGAGAUGAGCAUAGAUAUUGUUAGAUUAAUAUAUUCCCUUUUGUGGAUCACAAUCUGGAACUCUAUUACUAUAUUGAUGGGGAUAUUUUAAGGAUUGCUGGUAAUUUACACUUAACAUGUGAUAUAAUUUUUUAGUACGAUAAAAGAUUUUCUAUAUUUGUUUAUUGCUGUUAGUAGCUAACAUUAUUGGAGCACAUUUUUCAUUUUUUUUUUCCUUACUUCGGGUUAAACUUUUUGGCUGAGAC